GAUGAACGCUGGCGGCGUGCUUAACACAUGCAAGUCGAACGGAAAGGCCGAAGCUUGCUUCGGUACUCGAGUGGCGAACGGGUGAGUAACACGUGGGUGAUCUGCCCUGUACUUCGGGAUAAGCUUUGGAAACUGGGUCUAAUACCGGAUAUGACGAUCUCUUGGAUGGGGUUGUGGAAAGCUUUUGCGGUAUGGGAUGAGCUCGCGGCCUAUCAGCUUGUUGGUGGGGUAAUGGCCUACCAAGGCGUCGACGGGUAGCCGGCCUGAGAGGGUGUACGGCCACAUUGGGACUGAGAGACGGCCCAGACUCCUACGGGAGGCAGCAGUGGGGAAUAUUGCACAAUGGGCGCAAGCCUGAUGCAGCGACGCCGCGUGGGGGAUGACGGCCUUCGGGUUGUAAACUCCUUUCGCAAUCGACGAAGCCUUUUGGUGACGGUAGGUUGAGAAGAAGCACCGGCUAACUACGUG
rnacentral:rRNA from 1 species